AGGAAGCCAGCCUGCGAAGUGAAAGGAACUUAUUGGGUGAGUGGCACAGCAAUAAACCGAAGCAUUCUCAUAACUCUCUGUUUGGAGCAAUGACACACAGUGGCUGCCAUAUGAUUCUUGUACAACAUUUUGUUCAAAUGGUUGUCAGCCCUUCCCAAUCUCUUCGAUGCUAAAUGUGGCUUGCAAACAAAGCUCAUGAAAAAAAAAUGGACAACUAGGACUAAGGGGGGCAUAUCCAAGGCUGCCUGGAUAAAACUGAUACAGCAUCUGAUACUGGAGUCCAGCUCUACUGAGUUCAGAUCUUGAGGAGGGGUACAGUUGAAGAAGGAAGAAUGGAGACACUCACAGGGAUGUGCUGAUCACACUGUCUUCUCUCAGAGAGGACAUAUUUUAUUUAUAUUUUCAGCACUGAAACAAAUAGGUACAGGAAAGCAUGUGUUGCAUGGGUUUUACAUAACCAAUUUCCAAGAACUUUCAAGAUCACAUUACAAUGUUCUUAAAACUUUCUACCCACAUUCUCCUAACAUGUCCUGCCAACCUGACACUAGUUCUACUUCUAUAAAAAUUAAACAAGG
ensembl:lncRNA